rnacentral:rRNA from 1 species
AUUGAACGCUGGCGGCAGGCUUAACACAUGCAAGUCGAGCGAGCGGCGGACGGGUGUGUAAUGUCUGGGAAAGUGCCUGAUGGAGGGGGAAAACUACUGGAAACGGUAGCUAAUACCGUAUACCAUCAGAUGCGCCCAGAGGGGAUUCGCUAGUAGGUGGGGUAAAGGCUCACCUAGGCGACGAUCUCUAGCUGGUCUGAGAGGAUGAUCAGCCACACUGGGACUGAGACACGGCCCAGACUCCUACGGGAGGCAGCAGUGGGGAAUAUUGCACAAUGGGCGCAAGCCUGAUGCAGCCAUGCCGCGUGUAUGAAGAAGGCCUUAGGGUUGUAAAGUACUUUCAGCGGGGAGGCGUUACCCGCAGAAGAAGCACCGGCUAACUCCGUGCCAGCAGCCGCGGUAAUUC